rnacentral:lncRNA from 1 species
AGAGUUGUACGUUGAGAUGAAUCAAAGGUCUCCAUGAGGGUGUACAAGAUCAUAUUCAAUAUGAGAGGUGUACAGUAGCUAUCAUGCUCGUUACCCUUGGCUUGAAUGGGAAUCCUCCUUAAUAGUGUUUUAAACUAUGUUUGUUCCCAUAAUACCCACAUCCAGCAAUUAGGAAUACUCGUCAAUAGUUGUCCAAUUCUGGUAAUAGAGACUGAAGUACAAGUGGUAAUAGAGAAUACUCAACUAACUUGUGUUCGAAGCUUUGCGGAAAUAGGGAUUUGUUUCCUUACCAAGUCCAAUUUAACGUUUGUUUCCUUCUUUCAAUGUUUAUUUCCCUUUGUUUUUUUUAAACUCAUAAUUGUUGGGUGAAAUUAGCUAGUCGUUUGGUGAAUUGGUGUGGUGGUUUGAAGUGAGUUGGAAGAUGAGGUUUUGGGGUUUAAUGAAGUGUGAAGGUGUUGCCAUUCAUGGGAGAGAACUGUAGCAGGAACUGAAAUUGAGAGAAGAUGUGUUUUUGUCAUCUAAUGUAGUUUUUCACCAGGCUAAUAAACUUUGACUUUCUUUGUAGGAAAACAUCAGUGAAGUUGAGUGAUGUAUUUGGUUGGAAUGGAAGUAUUUGGUUCUAUUUUCUGAGAUUUAAGUUCGACGGUGGCUGUUUGUUUGUGAUACAGUGGUUGAAGUUGAGUGAUGUUGGUUGCUGCGUGCAAGUUGAGUUAGUGUCAAUAGGCAUGGAGGAUUCUUGACCAGGCCAUUUACUGCAUGCCAUACUAAAUUUUAAUGCUGUUAUGGACCAAUUUCUCAUUAUUUAUGACCAGUUUCUCUCAAGAAAGGUGAAACUCAAUUCUGGUUAGUUUGGAUUUUUUACUAUCAAGGAG